rnacentral:rRNA from 1 species
AAUCAACGCUGGCGGCGUGCCUCAGACAUGCAAGUCGAACGCGAAAGUUCCCUUCGGGGAGCGAGUAGAGUGGCGCACGGGUGAGUAACACGUAGGUAAUUUACCUUCGGUGGGAGUAACANCCGAACGGACUGCUAAUACCGCAUAAUGCAGCGGCUCGACAUCGAGACAGUUGUUAAAGCGGGGGAGUCGCAAGACCUCGCGCCUGAAGAGAAGCCUGCGGCAGAUUAGCUAGUUGGUGGGGUAAGUGGCUCACCAAGGCGACGAUCUGUAGCCGGCCUGAGAGGGCGGU